UUACUAGCAGGUUUCGUC
rnacentral:siRNA from 1 species